AAGGUAAACCCAUUUCCAAAAGAAAAAAACCUGAAAAUUGUAUUACUCGAAGUUUUAAAAAAUUAGGUAGUACUGCGAAUGACGAUGAGAAAAAUAGAAUUUACGAAGCUACUGAUCUUGAAACUGCACAAUUGGAAAAACUUGGAAUGGCGAGAAGAGAUAUUACUGGAAAUGUUAUAAUAAAAGUACUUACCCAAAAACUAGCUGAAAUCGUCAAGGAGGACAAGAAGUAUCCUGCUGAUAAGAUUUGUGUUUUGUUAGGAAUAUGGGUUAGUCUAAAAAUGACUUCAAACACGUUCUAUAUAAGCAAUGGUGAUGUAUGCGAAGUACAAAUGUUAGGGCGUACAUUUAAAAAUAUUU